AGAGUAUCAUAUUCAGAUAAGGAUGGUGUCUGCAAUGUCGCUCUGUAUGCUUUUACCUGCAUUCAAUUUUUCAUUUUUUAACCUCACACUACAUCUGAAAAUGAAAUGCAUCAUUUAGAACCUUUCUUUUAUUGGUAACUAUAUGUAGAUGCCUUGGGCAAUCAAGGACUAUAUGAACAAGCAUGAAGUUUCAAGUACAUUACAAGAAAAUAACUUCCACCUCUCCUCAACUAACUGUAAUCUUGAGAUGGGGCGCCAGACGUAGAUGAAACAUUCAUCGCAACAACAGACAACAUACCUAUUCCCGAAUUGUAACCUGCAACUUCCAUAGCCUGGAAUUGUGCAAGUUUCAGCUCGUUUCUAUGUGAGAAGCAAUGUGAAUGCAUGAAAGGAUAACUCAAAUUUAGCUUUUUUUCUGAUUUUGGUUUGAGUUGACAUAUCCUUCAAUGCCAUACUUCUGGUAUACUGUAACUUGAUUCUCCUCCCACCAUCGCUGUGCUUCUUUCUCAGCAAAUCGUUUCCGGCUAAAUCUGACUCGCUUUAGCCCCCUUUGCCCACCUGGCAAAGUUGUGAAUGUGAUAUAUACACCAGGUUCAUAUUGUUCUACCCAUUCAUGCCUUGAGCCUUUCAUUCCAUUUUGCCUAGAGUCUAUUCUUGGGACAUGGGAAUCAUCAUCUGAUUUGCCAUUUUCUUGGAACAACCCUCUGGCGUCCAGCGACUUUAAUGUAUUAGAGAACACAAUAGGAGAGCUUGAUAAACUAUCUAUUUGUCCAUCUUUAGGUAAUUUUACUUCAGAGGGCAAAUGAAACAAAGCCAGUGGAGGCCGUGGACUCACAGUAGGGCUAUUUGUAUAUGCCUGUGUGUUCUGAGAACUAGUGUUCAGAUCAACUCUACCUUUUGCUUCUUUUCCAGCAGAUAUUUUCUCUGACAUUGCAUGAAGCCUUAAUGCCAAAGCUUUUAUAAUCUCAUUUGCUGCUUUACGCUUAGCUACUUCCUCUCUGGCCAGAGACCAAGUUUUCUCUAUAUUUUCUUGACAUUCUCGAAUCUUCUGGGUUCCAAUUUCACAUUGCACUUCAAGACUCCUAGCCUCUGCUCUUAGCCUCUGAACUUCUUCAGCAAGCAUCUUGUUUGCCUCAAACAUGCCUUCAUCUAUAUUUAUGACACUGGAAACAGUUGAUCCUGAAUCCAACGUCGGAACUGAAUUCUCACUAUAGUAUGAUUCAAACACAGCAGGGCAUGAGACUUGCCCCCACUGUGGCAAUCCAGCUGAAAAUGAAGAGACAAAUAAAUGCUGCUCCUUUUCCCCUUGGUUUUUAAGAGUCUUCUUCUGAACAGCUUGGCCAUCGAGAUCAUAUAAUUGGCUCAUUGACGGUAUAUGACUUCCUGCUGGGGUUGCUUUCCCCCCGCCUUCUUUCUCAUCAGAUAACAUCUUAUUGGAGGAUAACUUCUGCUUUGCACAAUGAUUUUCCAGUUUCAAUAUUCUACCUGAAACCGUAGCUUUCUGUAGAUGAUUAAAACAUGAAUCACAGACACGAGAAGGCUUGUUUUUAUUAGGAGCCAAAGAUGCAUUUAUGAGCUUCCUGCUGCUACAUGUAUGGCAGAACAAAAGACCACAAUUAUAACAAUUAUGUUUUUUCCUUGUAAAUCCAAAGGGCAUCCUACAACCACUACAAGCGGAUUGAUCAGUAACAGAGAUAGAUUUGUGCAGACAGAUUACUGCAGUUAAAUUUGAUCCACAAGCUACACUUUCAACCUGCCUGUUUCUCAAAGCCUCGACAAAAGUUGGUGAGUUUCUAUCUUCUGUGUUUCCUAGUCCUAACUGCCCAUUUGUGCCUUUUCCCCAAGUAUAUACAUGUCCCCCUGAUGUCAAGGCAGCUACAUGAUAUGAUCCUGAUGAUAUCUCCUUAACAAACUCCUCUUUAAGCUUUCCUUCAACAAUUGUGAUCGAUUUAUCCUUAGCCUGAGAAUUCCCUAACAGACCAUACACUGAGCUUCCCAUUGUAUAGAUCUUACCUGUAUUGGUAAGUGAAACAGUAAGCACCCUUCCACAGGAAACUUGGACAAAAUCAUAUUCCACAAGUUGUGCAACACAUGUUGGUACAAGUUUUUUCCCCAGAUCAAUAUGCCCAAGUCUUCCUUUAUCACCAUCUCCCCAUGUAAAUAGUUUCCCACCAACAGCAUUAAACUUGAAGCGGUCAGCAACAAUGUCCACAAUUGCAGCAGUGUGCCAUGAUCCGCAAGCAACAGAUUUUACCCGUAAACCUCUUAGAGAUUCAACUUCCUUGGGAUAAUAUACACUUUGAAGAUUCCCAUGCCCAAGUACUCCAAAAGUUCCAUCUCCAUAUGUAAAUAAUUGUCCAGAUGAGGACACAAUUGCUGUAUGCCAUUCCCCACAAGCAACUUUUGAUACAGUUAUACCAUCAAAAGAGCCAGAAAGUUUAUAUGGUAACCACUGGCUUCUGGUUCUUGUCUCAUCAACCAAAUUAGCACCACUUUUGUCGUCACCCCACAUGUAUAGUUCACCAGAAUGUGUCAGAGCACAUGUUUGAUAUUCACCACAGACAACAGCUUUUAUAUGGACACCAUCCAGGGAUUCAACAACUUUUGGGUAGCUCAAAUCCAUGUUAACUUUAUGUCCAAGCUUUCCCCCACUUCCAUCACCCCAGCAGAAAACUUCACCUCUUUUGUUGACCAAGGCAGCAUGUUUUCCUCCUAAAGAUAUAUUUUGUACAUCUAGCAUUACUGUGGAUUCCAAUAAUUUUGGCAUUAAUGCAUCAACUUGCAUCCCAUUGUGGUUACCCCCUAUAUUUCCUCCUUCCACACCUUCCCCCCAUAUCAGAACAUCCUUCAGGAUGUCACUUUUCCCCAUCCGUGCAGAUCUGCAUGUUGGGGCAACAAACCUAUGGGACAUUUCUUUUUGAAGUUCAGAGCAAGCAUACUUGAGAUUUGGCUCGACAUAUGGUGAAUUUGGAACAAGGACAUCCACUGCAUUCUGCAUCUGUUGAAGACUUGAUUCCGAUAUAAAAAAGCUAUCAGAAGAAAGCGAUAAACCAUCAGAAAAACACCUCUCCGACAGUGACAGAGUAGGACUUCCACAUAAGCUGCGCACCUGCGAAAGUUCUGAUGCAUCCUGCAGAAUUCCCAGAUUAUGCUUUCUUCUAAUAUAACCAGCUGGACUAUUGACACAACUAAGUGCCCCUGUGUGGCUCUUGAGACCAGUAAAAGGCCUAUGACGUUGACACCUGGAUAUAACAGCUCUUAAGCCUAUAAACCAAGAAUCAGCCUGCUCUUUGUCCUUGCAUAUCAGAUCUAAUGAGCGUUCACCGUUAGCAUAGAUUAGUGAGAAUGACUGAUGCACCUUAUCUGGUUGAAGUUGCCUUUGAAAAUUGAAAGUCCUCUGACCAGAAAUAAUCUUCAUAAUUGAGCUCAAUCUCAAUUGCUUUUCCUCCUGUCCAGAAUACCAGAUCAAAUAUUUCUCAUCCGUAGAAAGCCUAAAAGGACAGAACUUGGGCUUCCCUCUUCUUCCACACUUCAAAAGAUGUGCACCCUUCUUCAAAGCUAAAAGUGCAAGAAUGUGAAAGAACAGGCAACUCUGUGAAAUCCAUGACAGAAAUCCCAAUUCAGUGAGUGUGAUUAUUAAAAGAGAAGGAUAAUAGAGCAUCAAAUGCAACAUUAUCUUGGAAAGGCUAAUCAUCAUCCCUCACUUUUAAACCUGUUCAACAGUUCUGUAGGAGGGCACUGCUUGUAAGGAUUCCUCAACCAUUUUUGGCAGACAAGUUCAAGAAAGAAACAUUGGAGAGCGGAGAUAUAGAGAGAGAAUUUCAGGGAAGGAACAAACGAAGCAGAAUGAGAAGAUAUACGUUGGUAUCUCCAGAAGGGAACCUUAAGUAACUGCACAGCAGAACGUGCGUGUCUGAGACAGUGAUGAGGAGGGAAGAGAAAAAUAAGAGAGAUAGUCUGAUAGAGAGAGAAAGAGCAUAAAAACUAUGAAUGGCCUGUCUGCUAAACAGAGUGCCUCUGCAACAACUACAACUGCUAUAUAUGUUUGCACUUAUAAAACAUAUAAAAAGGGUUAAUUUCCUUUUCCUUUUCUUUUCCUUUUUUCCCCGCCUCACUUAACAGGUUCCUCUGAAUUGGGUUCUCCUCUCUCUCCCUCUUUCUACUGAUUCUGCUUCUUCCAUUACCGUUUUUG
rnacentral:misc_RNA from 1 species